GCCGACGUAGCUCAAUUGGCAGAGCAAUUGACUUGUAAUCAAUAGGUUACCGGUUCAAGUCCGGUCGUCGGCU
rnacentral:tRNA from 1 species